GCGAAGCAGCCUGGCCUCUCGAAGGACCUCCUGCCCACCAGGAGCCCCGUGCUGGCGGAGGAGGCUGUCAGUCCUUCCACCGUAGCAGAACACAUCUUCUGAAGAUAUUUGAACAUGAUAGCCAAGAAGACUGAACAGUUUUUGAAGAAGCAGCGGACCAUGCAGCUGAAGAGAUGCAAUAGGUUUUCAGAGAACUGAAUCCUUGCACAUCCUUCAGAUGAAUAAGCCCACCCUUCUGAAGAGUUUGGUUCAGGCUUUGUACAUCAAACAAACUUCAGUGAAGUUAUUUGUGCCUCACACAAGUGGUAAGAGGAAAGAGAAGAAAGUUAUUCAUAUUUAAUGCUAUUUUGUGCCAGAUGUUUUGCUGGUAGAAAUCCAUAGCUCCACAGGCACCAAUUUCUUCAGGAUCUGGAAUGUCUGGCCCAAUUUCUUUCUCAUUCUGGAUGGUCUAUGAAAGAAACCACUUUAUUUUGCAAUAUUGAAUAUUCUUGCUGGGAAGCUAUAAGCAAAAACAAAAUAAUGAGAGACAGGAUCUCUAAUAAGCUUCCUGUCACGAAGCUCUGGUUCUAUUGAAGCAUAUGUGUUUGCUGACUUGUUUCCAAAAGGUUUUUUGAGUGGUGGUGAUUAGUUUCUGUUGUACUGAUGUUAUCUCUCUGCAGUCUCAUUCAAUACAAGUAGUUCUGUAAACAGUGAAGUCUUUUUUUCCUACAGAUUUGUAUCUUGGAUUGUGUUUCAGCAUGGAUUCUCUGAUGUUUAAUGGGGAUCGAGUUCAUGUUUAGCCAAUUUCUUCAAUGAGGGAUGAAUAAUCUGUCUUUUUGGCCAUCUAUUUUUACAAAAUUUGCUGGAAUUAAGUAUCUUCAACGCUCUCUGUCAAAGUUGACUGGAAUUUAUGAACAAGUUUUUGAGUUAUUCAGGGCUGUCCAGUGUAGAUAAAAGAGUGUCAUUUUCUUACAAAAACAGAAUGUAAAAAUGCAUUCUUAAAGUAUUUUGUCCUUGUAUACUACCUGCUUGAUUCUAUUCUAUUUGUGACCAGUCAUAUAGGAUACGUCUUAUUUGUAAAGCUGUAUUAAGGUAUGAUGUGUUUUUUUGCCCUGUUGAGUGCAUAUUAAAGCAUCCUUAGUUUAUUCUUGUCAUGGGCCAGAUUGUAUUUUUUUUGGUCCUUGUUGGAAUAUGGGAAAAGAUGCCACACAUUUAACUUCUGUGUUUACACAGGUGAGUGCAGACAAAGGACGUAUGGUUGCUCGUUUAGUAUCAGAGAUUCCCAUUUCUGGUUUGGAAAGGAAGAAAGGAAACACAGAAUUGAAUAUGACCUUUUAGCUUGCUGAGUCCAGUUUCGUGCUUCUGCAGGUAGCUACGUUCUCAAUCCUUCUCACAAGCAGAUAGUGCUAUUCAAAAAUGUACUCUUUCCUCCUCGUUGUGUCUCCUAUCUUCCCAGUUACCUAUUUUAUUUGGGAAAUUGCUCUAGAAUCUCCUAAUUUUGACUGGAAGAAACCCACUGAUUUCUGUGGUCAACUUAUUCCAGAAAAAAAAGACAUCUAUCCAAUUUUUUGUUUACAUCUGUAGGUAAGACAGAUCUGGGUGUCUCUUUAUCUUUUUAUCCUUCUGUCAAGUUACUUUGCUUAAUGUAAAUGAACAAUUAAUUUAAAAUAGAAAAAGACAGUAAUUUAAAAGGGAGAAGAAGUGGAUCAGACAAGAAGGUGAGUGGAUCAGACACGAAUGUGAUGUGUUCAUUAUGCCAUCUGUUUAUGGUAAAAGAGGAGCUGUCACACGGAAACAGAAUAAGAGGUAGAGAUCAGGCCUCUCUCAUCUUUCCUUGCAAAAUAGCCAGAUUUCUUCACUUGAUGACAGCAGACUAAGCCCUUGAUUCUGAGCUGAAUCUCUGAAUGAUCCCAAGAAAGACAGCAAUGGAAAUUUUAAACCCCAAUUCUGGAACUGUGAUUGUUCCUGCUGUGAAUUUUUUCCUUCAAAAGAUGUUGUCAGCUGGAACAAGUGUCUGCAUUAUGCAGUGACCACGUUUUGGUGCUCGGCAGCCACUCUUAAACACUGGACACAGCCUUUCACAGAUACUGGCUGCAGUGACUUCCUUCAGAUUCUUCAGGUCCAAAUGAUUUCUGAACAAUGAUCAUCCCGGUUCCCUAAGAAAACAUAUCAGCAGCCAAAGAAAACUGGAGCGAAAUGUGGCUAAACUCAUUAGUUUCCACAUUGAUUCUUUGCCUCCUUUAAGCCUCAGCUGGUCCCAGUGGUCCACAGGGGUGUGCAUGGUAGGCAGCCUUGACGUAGGAACAUCACCCUGUGCCUGGCAGAUAAAGAUUGGAAGGGAUAUUUCCUGUUUUCUGUCCCCUUUUGGGACUGGCAAGAGGAACAGCACAGAACAUGAGCAAGUCUUCCAAAUCUUUGUUAACUGGAAGGAUGGUGGAUGUUGGCCAGUGGUGUCAGGAUGUAAAAGAAUAAGCAAAUCAGAGUCUCAGGAGCCUAACAGGAAAUGCAGACGACUGGGAGUGAGUGUCCCAACUUUUUUUUUUCUCUUUUUUUCUUUUUUUUUUGAAUCUUAGACUUUAGCAACUGAUGUGACAACAAGCAACCACAGCCACAAAACAUACAUUUGAGAACAGAUGUGCAUACAUAUCUCUGAUCUCAACAGAAGUGUUGUUCAUGAUCUCAUGGCCAUGUGAUGCCACCUUCAUAUUUAAUUUUGGUUGUUAUUUUGGCUAUAAGAGUACGCUGUCUACUUGUGUGGCUGCAAACUCAGAUCUGUGUAGGUCUGUGUUACCUAAGAUUUAAUACAUUCUUCCCAUAUUUGCACACCUCUCCACAGUUUGUGGAGAAAUUAAAGGUCCAAAGUUCAGCUUUAUGUUAAUAAAUCCAGAUAUACCCAAUAUUUACCUUCCAUGGUCAAAGAAACUGCCCCAAGAGUUGGUUGUCCUGCUGCAUUUAGAAGGUGUCUGUGACUGUGUGCUGCAGAACUUCAUGCAACCUUAGGGGAAAAAAAAAAAAGAAAAAAUAAUAAAAAAAAGCCAAGUGUAUGCUCAAUGGAAAACAGAUGGAUUUUUCAUUAGAUAUAACUUUUAAUGAUCUGCUUUAAAAGUAAAGAUUUGCCAUUCCGAGUAGAAGAAGGGCCUCCUCAUAGCUUUGUGUAGAUCCCAGGAUCAUUAUCUUAGCUACAGAUAGAAUUGCAAGAUCCUUGUAUCAUUAGGAGUACCAGUCAGACAUCUCUGCCACUGCUAGACUUCCAAACACAGCAAAACACUUUGGGGGCCUUAAUAAUAUUUUUCCCUAAGACGUGUCUUCAUUUAAUAAUGCAGAGUUGUUAUGGGGCUGGCAGUUGGUUACUCGGUUUCUGGAGUAUUCACCAUUUAACCUAAGGUCAGAAUAAAAAUCUUUGAAUACUUAUUGCAAGACAGAUCUUUUGCUUCACUGAGGGACUUGUCUUCACAGUCAACCAUGGUGUGACUCCUCCAAGUGGUCUUACUGGCUGUGAGAGGUGGCCCCAGCAGUCUAGAAGGCCUGAAGACCCUUCCUGAAAAGAUGAACCCUGCACUGUGUGCCUAUGGCAGCAGAGGAGCAGUCUGACAGAAUGGCAUCUGAUGUGGAAAUGCAUAUGAAACAAAAGUGUGGAACUGAAUUCCUUCAUGUGAAAAAAGUUGCACCCAAUGACAUUAACUGAUGCUUGCUGAAGAUUUAUGGAGACCAAACAGUGGAUGUGAGCACAGUGAGGCAGUGAGUUUCAGUGCA